rnacentral:rRNA from 1 species
UUGAACGCUGGCGGCAUGCUUUACACAUGCAAGUCGAACGGCAGCACGAGGGAGCUUGCUCCCGGGUGGCGAGUGGCGCACGGGUGAGUAAUACAUCGGAACGUGUCCUGUUGUGGGGGAUAACUGCUCGAAAGGGUGGCUAAUACCGCAUAAGACCACAGCACCACAUGGUGCAGGGGUAAAAACUGAGGUGGUACAAGAUGGGCCCGCGUCUGAUUAGCUGGUUGGUGAGGUAACGGCUCACCAAGGCGACGAUCAGUAGCCGACCUGAGAGGGUGACCGGCCACAUUGGGACUGAGACACGGCCCAAACUCCUACGGGAGGCAGCAGUGAGGAAUAUUGGUCAAUGGACGAGAGUCUGAACCAGCCAAGUAGCGUGAAGGAUGACUGCCCUAUGGGUUGUAAACUUCUUUUAUACGGGAAUAAAGUGAGGCACGUGUGCCUUUUUGUAUGUACCGUAUGAAUAAGGAUCGGCUAACUCCGUG